GGAGCUUGGAGGGGAGGCUCCAGGAGGAGUUCAGUGAUGAUUGGAAAAGUGGGUCCCUUGGAGGUGCAUCAAGGCAAGAAGUCAGCCUGCUCUCCAGUCUUUGAAGGAUGUGAAGGUGUGGCUACCCAUUUUCUCAGUCUCUGUGGAAUCCAGAUUCAAUAUCAAAUGCCAAGCAACCUCCGUGACAUUCUAAGAAACUCAUCCUGUCCUCACUGGGGCACUCAAUGACUCAGAGUAGCCCAAAUACGCCACAGGACACAUGGCAGCCGCAGCUGGAAGAGAAAGAGAGAGAGGAAGAGGCCAAAGAGGAUAUCAGGCAGAUAAGAGUUAUCAGUAAAGGUCAUCCUCAAUUUCUGUACAGAAAUGAUCUGUCUCCGGUCAUGACGGUUAAUGCUGCUAAAAAAUCUCAUCACUGCUUUUGAUCACUGUAUUGUCUUCCUGGUAUUAUCAGAAUUUUGUGAAGUGGUCAGAAUCCAUUUCCUAAGGAGACUUUGUUUUUCAUGGAGACUAAACAUAUACAUUCCAGUAAUAAUAAUUUGUGUUCAAAUGCUCUAUCAACACAACUUGGGGACG